AUUGAACGCUGGCGGCAGGCCUAACACAUGCAAGUCGAACGAGUGGCGGACGGGUGAGUAAUGUCUGGGAAACUGCCCGAUGGAGGGGGAUAACUACUGGAAACGGUAGCUAAUACCGCAUACCAUCGGAUGUGCCCAGAUGGGAUUAGCUAGUAGGUGGGGUAACGGCUCACCUAGGCGACGAUCCCUAGCUGGUCUGAGAGGAUGACCAGCCAGACUUGAACUGAGAGCCGGUCCAGAAGCCUACGGGAGGCAGCAGUGGGGAAUAGUGCAGAAUGGGCGCAAUCCUGAUGCAGCCAUGCCGCGUGUAUGAAGAAGGCCGUCGGGUUGUAAAGUACUUUCAGCGAGGAGGCGUUACUCGCAGAAGAAGCCCCGGCUAACUCCGUGCCAGCAGCCGCGGUAAUAC
rnacentral:rRNA from 1 species